rnacentral:lncRNA from 1 species
GUGAGAGGGGAGAAGAUGGCGCGGGUGGUGCAGGCUGUCUAUUCCGUCCAUCUUGAGUUGGGCGCCUUCCUGGUUUGUCUGAACCACGCCCGUGAGCACCGAGCAGGAUGAGGUGAGGCUGGCGGCCAUGGUGGGAGGGGUCCUUCUGGGUGGCCAUGGUGGGUGGGGUUCUUCCGGUCGGGAUGGGGCUCUAACCCUCUGACCCGUGCUGACCCCCUCUGACCCCCUCUGACCUCCUCUGACUCCUGCUUUUCCCCUCUGACCCCCUCUGACCCCCUCUGACCUCUGACCGGUGGAUACACACCCUGCUGUGAGGGAUUAAGACACACACUGUGCUUAUCAGGGGCUGGAAGGACAGCUCAGUGGUUAGCGCCAGCUCCGCUUCCUGAAUGUAUGGCCCGGUGUCCAUGUGACCCCACGUUCCAGUGACUCAGUGAGGGCGACGCUGACGUUGUCUUCUCUUCCCCGCUGCGACUGAGCGACAACAUCAGGUUUUGCUUUUCCAUGAGGACGAGAAUUCUCCCCUAUAGGUCGCACUUUGACGGCUAUACUUACCCAUAUAGGACAGUGGAGCCGGACCCCAGCUCACAGCACAUAUGGAAAUUAGCUACCAACGAGCCCGGGGCGUAAACAUGCAAGACGAGGGCGCAAACGCUUGGGAGAAGAGUGGGUCCUUGUGAUGUUGGCGAAUCAGAAUGCAAUGCACCGGAAAUGGGUGAAGAAAUUAGAAAAUUAAUUUUUAAUUUAAAAAAAUUUAAAAGAUAAAACAAAUAUACGAUCUUAAGUAAAUAAA